CGAGCUCGGCUGCCCGUGCCAUCGCAAAGCUGUUCAUCGGUCUCUCCUCCCUCGCCAUUCACCUUGCUUCUCGAGAGCUGGACUCGCGACGACGACAUCGAGGCACGUGAAACGAACGAGAUCAAGAUGCGCCUUCGGAUGAUAUCCGCCCUGGAGGGCUCAACCAGCGCUUUCCUGUUCCUCGGGUUCGAUAAACCCUAAGAUCUUCCUGUUCUUAGGGUUAACAUUUGGAAUCUUGAUCGAAUCUUGAAGGUUUUUGGUGCGAUUGUUUCAGCGUCUCUUGUUCUGUUCGAAAGAUUCGUCCCAAGAUUUACUUAGGGCUUGACGUUGUGUUGUUCAAUCCUGCAUCGUUCUUUCAGUUGGAGGUUCGCAGAUGUGUUGACCGUGGGUGAUCUCUUCCGGCGAGCUAUGCGCCACUGGCGUACGAACCUUGGACCACUGAAACUCGAGGCUGCGUUGAGGAUCCUCAAUACUGUAAGACCUGUCUAUUUGUUCAUGUUUCGCAUGUUGGUAUUUGGGGCUGCAAGUGCAUAUGGUUAGUCUUGUGCAACAUAACAUGCUUUGAGAAAAGUUACUUUGUCGCUUAAAGAGGUCAAUGAUCUACUAUGCAUGUUACUGAUCUUCUAGUCACUAUAAUGCAUGGCAAAUAUAUCAGCGCUUCAGUAAGUUUAGAUGUUUCAAAUGACUAUUUUGUUCCUGAGUUACUGGGAAAAUGCUGAUAGCUAAAUUUGGCAACAUUUAGAAUGAUAUGUGUGUGUAUAUAUGUGUAUGUAUACAUACAUAUAUAUACACAUACAUACACAUAUACAUAUAUACAUACAUACAUAUAUAUAUAUACAUAUAUACAUACAUACAUAUAUUUAUAUAUACAUAUAUAUAUAUAUAUAUAUAUAUAUAUAUAUAUAUACAUAUAUAUAUAUUUAUUUAUUUAUAUAUAAUUUGGUGAGUGGCACAUGCGGCAUGUGAUUCCAUAUAAGUGCAUACUGGACCAGUACCACAUUGAAUGGACCAAUGACAAUUGGCAUGCAUGAAUAUAGAUGACUUAUAGGCAGGAAAUGGUUAUUCAUGUUCUUACAAGGAUUAAGUUAUGCAUUGGGUUAUCGUUAAACUUUUUUGCUUGUUUUUUAGUUUAAUAAUGGGAUUAUAUAGCUGUGAAGUUAUGAAUCAUUGAUUUAAUCUCAGAUGAAUUAAUCAUUUGUGAGCAGCUUUUGUUUGGUAGAAUGCUUAUAAUGUUAUUGGCAAGUCAAAUGCUUUGUCAACUUAGUUAUUCUCAAGUUAAUUGGACAUAUCAUCAGAAUCUUUCAUCAAUGGAACAGUGAAGGUAAUGACCACCUGUUUUGCGGUAGAGAUACAAGCCAAAAAGUUUUUAGAAUGAUACAUAGUGACCUAUGAUAGUUGGCAAAAAUAUCAGCAUGGUCAUAUAAACAACAUACAGCACGGCUUCGCAUAUCAUUGGCAUGUUUGCACAAACACGAUAGUCCUUCAAUGAAGGCUGAAGGAACAAAAAAGGAUGCCUAAUGUUGUUAUUUUAUUCCCUUAAUGCAAGAGGGGCUGUUCAGACUUCAUUAACCUGAUCUGAAUUUUGGCCACUGGGGCCACUACAUUGGCUCUGUUUUUUGCUCAUUCGUUGAUCGGUGGAAUGUUGUAGCUAUUGCCCCUGAAGAUCUGGCUAGCAAAUCUAAACUUAAAGAGAUCUAUAAAGUUCUUCAUCAAGCUUGUUAAUCAACCAAAAAAGAGGCAUGACGGCUCAUUGUAUGUGUUGUUUGUUUGAUCAGGCAAACCAAAGAUCAUUGAUUUUGUCUCUUAUGGCAAUUACAGUACAAGCACCAUAAAUAUGUCUGACCAAUUUAUAAGUCAUUUAAAGUUUAAAUUGCUUUGAAGACACGCCAUAUAGUGUCAGUUCACUCCCCUUUAUCUUGUACUUUGAUGAUUAUGUAAAGGAUAUCAUGUGAUUUGGGAACAUCAAAUUUAUGAACAUGAUUUUACUUCAUCAGUGGUGACAUGUUUGUGUGGUUAUGACUUGUGAUUCUACACUUAUCUCAGAUUGUACAUCUGCAAAUUGCAACCUGUUCACUAUUAGAUUACUGACAGAUUGACAGAAAAGCACAGAGUUCAAAGAGAUGCUGAAAUUGGAUGGUUUGGAAUGUCCUGCUAUCAAUGGAAAAUUGGGAACGAGAAGGAUGAGAGUGGAGCUCUUAAAAUUUGAGAGAACAACAUGCAAAUAUGUAAAUUUGGCUUUUAUGGCCCUUCUUGUUUCUCGAGACUUUUGUGGCCCUUUUCUAUUAUAUGUAUGACUCCUAAGGAGAGAAGCCUGAUGGUUGAUUAUAUUAAUGUUUGCAUCAAUCAUGUCCUUGUUGGAAGUAAGAUGUAGUUUUCUUCUAUUUCUUCUUAAAAUGAAAAUGCCAUGGUGAUUGGGUAGGGAGAUUGAAGGUGGGUUUUCAGAUAUAGAUUACCUUCUGAAGCAUAAUUUGAAUGUUUCUACAUACGUGUAAAAGAUAUGGUAGUUAUUUUUCUGUGCUAAGAAAUAUGAAGUUGAGAGUAAAGCCCUGAAUGCAUAUUAAGAUGUAUGAAUAGCCUUAUGGACUCUCUGUAUGCUUUCUUGAAAACAACCUAGUUCAUUGUAUAUUUCUCUCAACAAAUGUUCCAAUAAUAAAUUGCUAUGGGUGUUGAUGGAUGACAAGAUAACUAUGCAGGAAGGAUGACAUGAAAUAAAAGCUAAAGGAUGGUUCAGGCAUACUUGCACAAGUUCUCCUAAAUGUCACUUAAGGUAACUACGUGUACAUUCCCCAGUUAUGGAAGAUACAAGUAUCACUAUUUGGACAUUAUGCCUUCGAAGGACCAUCAACUUCCACAGGCAUAAAAUCUGGUACGUCCAACUCAAGAGACUUUGGCUGUGCUGUGGCAGAACAGCACAUGUAUGGCCAGUGUUGCUGCACGAGGUGCUCAAAACAUCCACUCCGAAGUGAUGCGUAAGUUGGCGAAUCUCCUGUAUAUCGAAGCAACAAGGUGUAGCAGAUCCACUCCGACCUCUAAGGCCUUACGUCCCCAGUGGGCGGUGGGAGGAGCCGGGAAGGGAGGUUCGGCCAUCAUAAAGAAAAGCAAAGCAGGCAAAACCGAGUGCUGGCAAAAGGGUCGCCAUCUGAACUAGCGUGGCAAGAAAACGUGUGGUGGUAUCGGAGAUUCUACGAGAUAAGAAGACAUCUAACAAAGGAAGAAAUAGAAAGUGUCCUCUUUUCGUCACCUUCGCUCUCCAUGCUUUAGUAAUUCUGUCUUUCUUGCCUCUCCAGCUUGUCGAUCAAUACAAGAUUUCUUCCUAGAAUUGUUCUGUUGCUGGUUCUGUUGUAGGAAAUGUUGUUGACUGGGUUACCAAGUUGUGGAAGGAGUGACGGAGGUAUGGUUCAUCUUUA